UAGUUCAAUGGUAUCUACUCUGGCACUG
rnacentral:piRNA from 1 species